rnacentral:tRNA from 1 species
UAGCUCAGUUGGUAGAGCAUGGGACUUUUAAUCCCAGGGUUGUGGGUUUGAGUUGCAU